rnacentral:rRNA from 1 species
UAGGGAAUCUUCGGCAAUGGACGAAAGUCUGACCGAGCAACGCCGCGUGAGUGAAGAAGGUUUUCGGAUCGUAAAACUCUGUUGCCAGAGAAGAACAAGGACGUUAGUAACUGAACGUCCCCUGACGGUAUCUAACCAGAAAGCCACGGCUAACUACGUGCCAGCAGCCGCGGUAAUACGUAGGUGGCAAGCGUUGUCCGGAUUUAUUGGGCGUAAAGCGAGCGCAGGCGGUUUCUUAAGUUUGAUGUGAAAGCCCCCGGCUCAACCGGGGAGGGUCAUUUGAAACUGGGAGUCUUGAGUGCAGAAGAGGAGAGUGGAAUUCCAUGUGUAGCGGUGAAAUGCGUAGAUAUAUGGAAGAACACCAGUGGCGAAGGCGGCUCUCUGGUCUGUAACUGACGCUGAGGCUCGAAAGCGUGGGGAGCAAACAGG